rnacentral:lncRNA from 10 species
UCCUUAACUGGACCCUCUUCUAGCCUCUCCAAAAAUGCCUCUGAGCUGAGGCUGCUGGAUUCAUAAAAAUGAGCUACAAUAAAUACCUCACUAUGGUGAAGUAUCUGUCUAGAAGAACUUCCCUUUAGCAAAAGAGAGCUUUCUUACUCUUUUGAGAUCACAAGUGUAAUUAUGUGAAUAAUUUCUGGCCAAUAAGACAAGCAAAAGAAUUGUGUGCAACUUCUGGGAAGAGAAGAGAUGUGACUUCCUUCAUCUUGUUCUUCACCUUGCUGUCUGGAAUAUGAACUUGAUGGCUGGAACUUGAGCAGCCUUCUUGGAUCAGAAGGCGGCCUGGGAAUAGGAAUAGAGCUGAAGAGAAGCCGCUGCAUUCUUGAAAAUUAUAAAGAUGCCAUGCCAUUUCAGCUUGCUUUCCUGUGGACUUCAUUUAUAUGUAUGAAAUAAAAGUUUAUAUUGUUUAAGCUCCUGUGGGUUUUCUGUCACUUGCAACUAAAUACAAACUUAUAUAAUUUGAAAUGU